AGGCCUAUAACUCAGUUGGUAGAGUUUCUGUCUUACAAACAGAGUGUCAUCGGUUCGAGUCCGGUUGGGCCUA
rnacentral:tRNA from 1 species